rnacentral:rRNA from 1 species
AACGAACGCUGGCGGCAGGCCUAACACAUGCAAGUCGAGCGAGGACUUCGGUCCUAGCGGCGGACGGGUGAGUAACGCGUGGGAACGUGCCCCCUUUCUACGGAAUAGCCCCGGGAAACUGGGAGUAAUACCGUAUAAGCCCUACGGGGGAAAGAUUUAUCGGGAAGGGAUCGGCCCGCGUUGGAUUAGGUAGUUGGUGGGGUAAUGGCCUACCAAGCCGACGAUCCAUAGCUGGUUUGAGAGGAUGAUCAGCCACACUGGGACUGAGACACGGCCCAGACUCCUACGGGAGGCAGCAGUGGGGAAUCUUAGACAAUGGGCGCAAGCCUGAUCUAGCCAUGCCGCGUGAGCGAUGAAGGCCUUAGGGUUGUAAAGCUCUUUCAGGGGGGAAGAUAAUGACUGUACCCCCAGAAGAAGCCCCGGCUAACUCCGUG